GGCUGGUGUGAAGGGAGCUGUUUCAAUUGACUGUUCAGUCACAGAUCAAACUCCUUGUUUCUACUUUUUCCCUCUUUUCCCUACUAUACUUGACUAGUCUUAA
ensembl:Y_RNA Y_RNA Y RNA